UUUACUUGGCGAUUGAGGGUGAAUCACCCGGGAAAGGCGCCAACACUGUUGUAAGCUAUGUGCAUUUCUAGCUUCAUCACUAUGGCCUAGGGGAGGAAGAGGCAGUUUUCUACUUUGACAACUGCUGAACAAAAUAAGAACAACUGUGUACUUUGGUAUGCAUUGUGGAAAGUUAGUGUUGGGCUGCACACUCGAAUUAGAUACUCGAUGAUGGUGACUGCGGCCACAUCAAGUUCUAGCCUGAUUGGCAUUUUGGAUUAUGGAAGUCAAAGUAGACCAUCGAAGCUGUUGCUGAGACUGUAUCCACCUCCUCAAGGUCUUGACUUAAUGUGCCGCACAUGAUUGGUGAUUUGGAGAAGCCUGUGCACCUAAACGAUUGGAAAACUUUUCUUGCCCAGUUGUUCAUACCCUUGAAGAACAUUUGAAAGUACCAACAUUUCCUCAUUGAUGCUGGUAA